rnacentral:rRNA from 1 species
GACGAACGCUGGCGGCGUGCUUAACACAUGCAAGUCGAACGGAAAGGCCCUGCUCUUGUGGGGUGCUCGAGUGGCGAACGGGUGAGUAACACGUGAGUAACCUGCCCUUGACUUUGGGAUAACUUCAUGAAACUGGGGCUAAUACCGGAUAGGAGCUCCUGCUGCACGGUGGGGGUUGGAAAGUUUCGGCGGUUGGGGAUGGACUCGCGGCUUAUCAGCUUGUUGGUGGGGUAGUGGCUUACCAAGGCUUUGACGGGUAGCCGGCCUGAGAGGGUGACCGGCCACAUUGGGACUGAGAUACGGCCCAGCCUCCUACGGGCGGCAGUAGUGGGGAAUAUUGCACAAUGGGCGGAAGCCUGAUGCAGCAACGCCGCGUGCGGGAUGACGGCCUUCGGGUUGUAAACCGCUUUCGCCUGUGACGAAGCGUGAGUGACGGUAAUGUGUAAAGAAGCACCGGCUAACUACGUG